CCGAUGCCCUGUGUGGAACUUGUAAAUCCGGAGGCCCUGGUGGCAGCCCUUGUCGGAGCGGGCGGUGGCCGUGGGACCGACGCCGGUUCUCACUGCGCUCCUGGGCACCUGUGUGUCCACCCUCGCAGGGCGGUGCUGUGUCCCAGCCGCUGCCCGCUCCCCUGCCCACCCGAAGGGCGUGCCGGGUCCACCUGGCCGUCCACCGUAGACGGCGCCCGCGGGCACGGCUGCCCGGCGCCGCCGAGGCCCCGCGAGGCCUCUGCUCCCGCACCCCUGCUGAGGUGGUGGUACCGCCGAGAUAGAACGAUCACAACCAUAUUAACAAACCAAAAACCUGUGCACAAGAAACAAGAUGAAGAAAACAUGUCAAGAUGUUAACCACAGUCUUUGGAUGGUGGAAACAUGGACGAGUUUCUCUUCUACAUUUCCACAAUGUCAAGAGGUUUACUAUAGUGAACACGCACUGCGUGUGUAAUGGAAACGUGUGUGAUGAAGGUGACUACUGAGACACUGAUAAAGGCCACGCACAGAAAUGAGGCGGCACACUUCACUGUAAUCCCACCAAGCCUGCAGCUUCGCUGUCUUAUGUUAUCCCAUCCGACAUGCACAUGGACGUGUCCUGAGGCCCUCUGAUCACAGCCUGCUGCAGAGACCCAGGUGUUACCAGGAGCAGUUAGUGGGAAUACAGAUUUGAUGCACACACAUUUAACACCAUCACACACACAAGCCUGUGCACUGGAACGACGUGGAGGAAACAUCAAGAUGCUGGCGCGAGUCCUGGGGGCUGGGGAUGUGUGUGAAUUGUUUUUAUUUUCCAAUUUUGCUGUAUGUUCUAAUUGUUCCUCUGGGCACAUGUUACACUUAUAAUGUAGACACAUAAAAUAAACAUUGUUAUCAGGACAUUUAUAAGGAGCAUGGGAAAAAAUUAAAAUGAAAGGAUUUAACCCUAAUUCCCAAAGGGUGAAAUAACAGCUAUCUUGAGCACACAUUUUGACAUGGUUAUAAUUAUAAACCUGUGUACAGAAACAGGAAAAACAAGAUACUUUAGAGUAUAUCUGUCUUUGGAUGGUGGGGAUAUGGAAUUUUUUCCUCCACUUCUUUUGUUUUUUCCAAGUGUUUGAUGUACUCAAAUUAUGUUCACAAUGGAAAUGUGAUCAACUUUAACAACACUACCAUAAAGAACAUUCAAGAAAGUUAAGAAAAUGAUGCUCAACUAUAAGCGUACAAUAACACAACAGCUUUUGACUAUAAGCAUACAUUUUAAAGUUAUAAUUGUAUAAAUAUAAUUUUGUGUCCUGCUUUCUCCACUUAAUCUUCAGUAAAUAUAUUUCCAUGUUGCUA